UGCAAGUCGAGCGGACAGAUGGGAGCUUGCUCCCUGAUGUUAGCGGCGGACGGGUGAGUAACACGUGGGUAACCUGCCUGUAAGACUGGGAUAACUCCGGGAAACCGGGGCUAAUACCGGAUGGUUGUUUGAACCGCAUGGUUCAAACAUAAAAGGUGGCUUCGGCUACCACUUACAGAUGGACCCGCGGCGCAUUAGCUAGUUGGUGAGGUAACGGCUCACCAAGGCAACGAUGCGUAGCCGACCUGAGAGGGUGAUCGGCCACACUGGGACUGAGACACGGCCCAGACUCCUACGGGAGGCAGCAGUAGGGAAUCUUCCGCAAUGGACGAAAGUCUGACGGAGCAACGCCGCGUGAGUGAUGAAGGUUUUCGGAUCGUAAAGCUCUGUUGUUAGGGAAGAACAAGUACCGUUCGAAUAGGGCGGUACCUUGACGGUACCUAACCAGAAAGCCACGGCUAACUACGUGCCAGCAGCCGCGGUAAUACGUAGGUGGCAAGCGUUGUCCGGAAUUAUUGGGCGUAAAGGGCUCGCAGGCGGUUUCUUAAGUCUGAUGUGAAAGCCCCCGGCUCAACCGGGGAGGGUCAUUGGAAACUGGGGAACUUGAGUGCAGAAGAGGAGAGUGGAAUUCCACGUGUAGCGGUGAAAUGCGUAGAGAUAUGGAGGAACACCAGUGGCGAAGGCGACUCUCUGGUCUGUAACUGACGCUGAGGAGCGAAAGCGUGGGGAGCGAACAGGAUUAGAUACCCUGGUAGUCCACGCCGUAAACGAUGAGUGCUAAGUGUUAGGGGGUUUCCGCCCCUUAGUGCUGCAGCUAACGCAUUAAGCACUCCGCCUGGGGAGUACGGUCGCAAGACUGAAACUCAAAGGAAUUGACGGGGGCCCGCACAAGCGGUGGAGCAUGUGGUUUAAUUCGAAGCAACGCGAAGAACCUUACCAGGUCUUGACAUCCUCUGACAAUCCUAGAGAUAGGACGUCCCCUUCGGGGGCAGAGUGACAGGUGGUGCAUGGUUGUCGUCAGCUCGUGUCGUGAGAUGUUGGGUUAAGUCCCGCAACGAGCGCAACCCUUGAUCUUAGUUGCCAGCAUUCAGUUGGGCACUCUAAGGUGACUGCCGGUGACAAACCGGAGGAAGGUGGGGAUGACGUCAAAUCAUCAUGCCCCUUAUGAUUUGGGCUACACACGUGCUACAAUGGACAAUACAAAGGGCAGCGAAACCGCGAGGUCAAGCAAAUCCCAUAAAGUUGUUCUCAGUUCGGAUUGUAGUCUGCAACUCGACUACAUGAAGCUGGAAUCGCUAGUAAUCGUAGAUCAGCAUGCUACGGUGAAUACGUUCCCGGGUCUUGUACACACCGCCCGUCACACCACGAGAGUUUGUAACACCCGAAGCCGGUGGAGUAACCAUUGGAGCUAGCCGU
rnacentral:rRNA from 2 species